rnacentral:rRNA from 1 species
UACGUAGGUGGCAAGCGUUGUCCGGAUUUACUGGGCGUAAAGAGCGCGCAGGCGGUCGUAUAAGUCGAAUGUGAAAGCCCCCGGCUCAACUGGGGAGAGUCAUUCGAUACUGUUCGACUCGAAGGCAGGAGAGGGAAGUGGAAUUCCUGGUGUAGCGGUGGAAUGCGCAGAUAUCAGGAGGAACACCAAUAGCGAAGGCAGCUCGCUGGGACGUUACUGACACUGAGGCGCGAAAGCGUGGGGAGCAAACAGG